rnacentral:rRNA from 1 species
UACGUAGGGGGCAAGCGUUGUCCGGAUUUACUGGGCGUAAAGAGCGUGUAGGCGGCCAAGCAGGUCCGUUGUGAAAACUGGAGGCUUAACCUCCAGACGUCGACGGAAACCGCGUGGCUAGAGUCCGGAAGAGGAGAGUGGAAUUCCUGGUGGUAGCGGUGAAAUGCGCAGAUAUCAGGAAGAACACCCAUGGCGAAGGCGCUCUCUGGGACGGUACUGACGCUGAGACGCGAAAGCGUGGGGAGCGAAACAGG